GACGAACGCUGGCGGCGUGCUUAACACAUGCAAGUCGAACGAAGAGCGACGGAAGCUUGCUUCUAUCAAUCUUAGUGGCGAACGGGUGAGUAACGCGUAAUCAACCUGCCCUUCAGAGGGGGACAACAGUUGGAAACGACUGCUAAUACCGCAUACGAUCUAAUCUCGGCAUCGAGGAUGGAUGAAAGGUGGCCUCUACAUGUAAGCUAUCACUGAAGGAGGGGAUUGCGUCUGAUUAGCUAGUUGGAGGGGUAACGGCCCACCAAGGCGAUGAUCAGUAGCCGGUCUGAGAGGAUGAACGGCCACAUUGGGACUGAGACACGGCCCAGACUCCUACGGGAGGCAGCAGUGGGGAAUCUUCCGCAAUGGACGAAAGUCUGACGGAGCAACGCCGCGUGAGUGAUGACGGCCUUCGGGUUGUAAAGCUCUGUUAAUCGGGACGAAAGGUCUUCUUGCGAAUAGUGAGAAGGAUUGACGGUACCGGAAUAGAAAGCCACGGCUAACUACGUG
rnacentral:rRNA from 1 species